ensembl:snRNA U2 U2 spliceosomal RNA
AUCUUGGUGUGUAUUAUACAGUACAGAUACAGUGUAGUAUCUGUUCUUAUCAGUUUAAUGUCUGAUACGUCCUCUGUACGAGGACUACAUAUUAAAUUGAUUUUUAGAACAGGGAGUUGGAAGAGGAGUUUGCUCCGUCCACUCCACGCAUCAACCUGGUAUUGCAGUACCUCCUGGAUUUUUUGGCCAGUC